CCCCUCUCAGGAUCAUAACUGGAGAGUUUCCAGUCCUCUACCAGCCUUGGCUACAGGAGGGAGAGUCAAGCAGAGGCAUACCCCUUCCAUUCCUAGCCUGGUCAGUGACUAGCAAGUGGAAGACAAUCUGGUACAAGU